CAAAAACAUAGCUAUAUGAACAAAUAUAUAGUAAUUUCUGCUCAAUGAUUAAUUAAAUAGCCGCAGUACCCUGACUGUGCUAAGGUAGCGCAAUCAAUUGACUUUUAAAUGAAGUCCUGUAUGAAGGAAACUAUGGAGGGCUACUUUAUCAUUAGUAAUUACUGAAUUUGUUAAGGUAGUGAAAAUUCUCCUAUAAAAAUAAAAGACGAGAAGACCCUAGAAAUUUUGAGGUAGUACUUUUUGUUGGGGCAACAAAGUAGCAUUCAAUCUACUAUUAUAACACGAAAUUAAUAUUUAGCGAGAUUAAAUUACUCUAGGGAUAACAGCAUAAUUUGUGAGAGUUUGUGACCUCGAUGUUGGAUUAGGGAAUUUACAUUCAGAAGAUAAUUAAUAGCUCUGUUC
rnacentral:rRNA from 1 species